GUCCACGCUGUAAACGAUGACGACUAGGUGUGGGGUGGUUCAGUCCACUCCGUGCCGCAGCUAACGCAUUAAGUCGUCCGCCUGGGGAGUACGGCCGCAAGGUUGAAACUCAAAGGAAUUGACGGGGGCCCGCACAAGCGGUGGAGCAUGUGGUUCAAUUCGAUGCAGAGCGAAGAACCUUACCUGGGCUUGACAUGCUGGAAGUAGAACCCCGAAAGGGGAACACCUGUUAAGUCAGGAGCCAGCACAGGUGGUGCAUGGCUGUCGU
rnacentral:rRNA from 1 species